ACACCAAUGGCGAAGGCAGGUCUCUGGGCCGUUACUGACGCUGAGGAGCGAAAGCGUGGGGAGCGAACAGGAUUAGAUACCCUGGUAGUCCACGCCGUAAACGGUGGAUGCUGGAUGUGGGGCCCGUUCCACGGGUUCCGUGUCGGAGCUAACGCGUUAAGCAUCCCGCCUGGGGAGUACGGCCGCAAGGCUAAAACUCAAAGAAAUUGACGGGGGCCCGCACAAGCGGCGGAGCAUGCGGAUUAAUUCGAUGCAACGCGAAGAACCUUACCUGGGCUUGACAUGUUCCCGACGGUCGUAGAGAUACGGCUUCCCUUCGGGGCGGGUUCACAGGUGGUGCAUGGUCGUCGUCAGCUCGUGUCGUGAGAUGUUGGGUUAAGUCCCGCAACGAGCGCAACCCUCGCCCCGUGUUGCCAGCGGAUUAUGCCGGGAACUCACGGGGGACCGCCGGGGUUAACUCGGAGGAAGGUGGGGAUGACGUCAGAUCAUCAUGCCCCUUACGUCCAGGGCUUCACGCAUGCUACAAUGGCCGGUACAACGGGAUGCGACGCGGCGACGCGGAGCGGAUCCCUGAAAACCGGUCUCAGUUCGGAUCGCAGUCUGCAACUCGACUGCGUGAAGGCGGAGUCGCUAGUAAUCGCGAAUCAGCAACGUCGCGGUGAAUGCGUUCCCGGGCCUUGUACACACCGCCCGUCAAGUCAUGAAAGUGGGCAGCACCCGAAGCCGGUGGCCUAACCCCUUGUGGGAUGGAGCCGUCUAAGGUGAGGCUCGUGAUUGGGACUAAGUCGUAACAAGGUAGCCGUACCGGAAGGUGCGGCUG
rnacentral:rRNA from 1 species